GGUUUGAUGCCACGUCGACGGUAGCCCAAGUGCCAUGACCGAUGAUGCUAUGAUUGAACCAAGAUCAAUAUGUUUUGCUUUCUGAUAGGAACCUGUGGAUCCCAUAUACAAAACUGGUCCACGGAGCCGAUUUACUGCAAUGACAUCU